rnacentral:rRNA from 1 species
AUUGAACGCUGGCGGCAGGCCUAACACAUGCAAGUCGAACGAGUGGCGGACGGGUGAGUAAUGUCUGGGAAACUGCCUGAUGGAGGGGGAUAACUACUGGAAACGGUAGCUAAUACCGCAUACCAUCGGAUGUGCCCAGAUGGGAUUAGCUAGUAGGUGGGGUAAAGGCUCACCUAGGCGACGAUCCCUAGCUGGUCUGAGAGGAUGACCAGCCACACUGGAACUUAGACACGGUCAAGGCUCCGACGGGAGGCAGCAGUGGGGAAUAUUGCCCAAGGGGCGCAAGCCUGAUGCAGCCAUGCCGCUAGUGUGAAUAAGGCCGUCGGGUUGUAAAGCACUUUCAGCGGGGAGGCGUUACCCGCAGAAGAAGCACCGGCUAACUCCGUGCCAGCAGCCGCGGUAAUUC